AUGAACAUUUUAACAUCCUAUGCAUUAAAAUUGGAAGCAUCCAGAUAGAUCAGCAAGGUCUCCACAAAAGGGUGACAUGUACAUACAUGACAUUAUCUCCAUAUUU
rnacentral:snRNA from 1 species